UACGUAGGGUGCAAGCGUUGUCCGGAAUUAUUGGGCGUAAAGAGCUCGUAGGCGGCUUGUCGCGUCGGCUGUGAAAACCUGGGGCUCAACCCCGGGCCUGCAGCCGAUACGGGCAAGCUAGAAUUCGGUAGGGGAGACUGGAAUUCCUGGUGCAGCGGUGAAAUGCGCAGAUAUCAGGAGGAACACCGGUGGCGAAGGCGGCUUGCUGGGCCAGUUCUGACGCUGAGGAGCGAAAGCGUGGGGAGCGAACAGG
rnacentral:rRNA from 1 species